GGGGAUAUAGCUCAGUGGUAGAGCACUCAUCUAGUAUAUGCAGGGUCCUGGGUUCAAUCCCCAGUACCACCA
rnacentral:tRNA from 2 species